rnacentral:rRNA from 1 species
CCUANGGGAGGCAGCAGUCGAGAAUUUUUCACAAUGGGCGCAAGCCUGAUGGAGCGACGCCGCGUGGGGGAUGAAUGGCUUCGGCCCGUAAACCCCUGUCAUUUGCGAUCAAACCUUGUUGUUUAAGAGAUGACAAGCUGAUAGUAGCGAAAGAGGAAGGGACGGCUAACUCUGUGCCAGCAGCCGCGGUAAUACAGAGGUCCCGAGCGUUGUUCGGAUUCACUGGGCGUAAAGGGUGCGUAGGUGGUGAGGUGUGUCGGAUGUGAAAUCUCGGAGCUUAACUCCGAAACGGCAUUGGAAACUACCUUGCUAGAGGGUUGGAGGGGGGACUGGAAUACUUGGUGUAGCAGUGAAAUGCGUAGAUAUCAAGUGGAACACCAGUGGCGAAGGCGAGUCCCUGGACAACUCCUGACACUGAGGCACGAAAGCUAGGGGAGCAAACAGGAUUAGAUACCCUUNUANUC